AGUGAACGCUGGCGGUAGGCCUAACACAUGCAAGUCGAACGGCAGCACAGUAAGAGCUUGCUCUUACGGGUGGCGAGUGGCGGACGGGUGAGGAAUACAUCGGAAUCUACUUUUUCGUGGGGGAUAACGUAGGGAAACUUACGCUAAUACCGCAUACGACCUACGGGUGAAAGCAGUGGAUCUUCGGACCUUGCGCGAUUGAAUGAGCCGAUGUCGGAUUAGCUAGUUGGCGGGGUAAAGGCCCACCAAGGCGACGAUCCGUAGCUGGUCUGAGAGGAUGAUCAGCCACACUGGAACUGAGACACGGUCCAGACUCCUACGGGAGGCAGCAGUGGGGAAUAUUGGACAAUGGGCGCAAGCCUGAUCCAGCCAUACCGCGUGGGUGAAGAAGGCCUUCGGGUUGUAAAGCCCUUUUGUUGGGAAAGAAAAGCAGCAGGUUAAUACCCCGCUGUUCUGGCGGUACCCAAAGAAUAAGCACCGGCUAACUUCGUG
rnacentral:rRNA from 1 species